CUAUUUUGCUAAGUUCUAUUUUGAUUUUCCAUUCCCUAUUUCCUCCUACCCCACAAUUCAUCCAUAUUUUUUCCCCAAAUUUAUUUUAUUCCUAAUUCCAAAGGCAUCUCAGAGAUAGAAAGAGUCAACUUCAGUUUGUUGCUGCUUCUAAUCGUCGAAAACCCUUGCCAAAUUUUAGGGCUAUAGUAGUUAAUUCUCUGUGAGUACAUUCUUCUCUUCUCUCUUCGGUUUUCUACUUCUAUCUUUCUACCAAUAUGUGUUUUCUGUAUUGUAGGUUUAGUUAUUGCAUUGUAUGUUUCUUAUCUUCUCCUAUUGUCUAGAAUUUAUGUUGUCGCCUCGCUCAUUCUAGCAGCCUCUUUCUGAUUUUGCUCUAUUCUGUCGUAUUAUUGUUCUCAUCUCGCUAUUUCCGGUUAGCCUUAUUAGUCUAUUAAAACUUAGUCUUUGGUGAACUCAAUUUGGACUAGAAACUAUAACUGACUCAACAACUCUAUAUAAAGGAGCUAAUUAAGAUCUAUAGAUAAUCCGAAAAAAAUUCUAACUAUACUAUCCAUCUAUCAGCUUGUUCAUUUUUACAAGUAAUUUUCAUUCCAUUUGAAGGCUGUUGAACUCUGGCUUCUUCAAAACCUUCACUGACAAUUCAAGUUGGAAAUUUUUUAGCCAUUGUAGCUGCAGAGCUAGCUUUGGCAUUGACGGUAGUGAAUAAUGAAGAAGACUUCAUGUGGGUGUUGAUUAAAUUGGCCAUCUCCGCAUUCUUUACUUCCUUGUUUGCCUUGUAAGUGGGAAUAAAAGAAUAGCACAGUACUUCCUAUAGUUAUGCCAGUUAUUUAUAGUAGCUCUCGUUAUUUAUUUUGUUUCUUUAGACAUCCUUAAGAUGUCAGAUAGGAGCUUAUGAUAAUGACAUGUUGUACAAUACCUAUGAUACAUACGCUGCUUUUGGGUAUAAAGUUUCAGUCAUUCUAUAAUAUUUGACACUAUCAAUACUUCUUAGCAUUUGGUUAUUUGGAACCAGUUGCCUUUAGAAAAGUUGUCAUCUUAUACAAGACAUCUAGUUAAGAAUGAAAAAAAAUCAAGUACAAGAGUUUGAUGUAAAAUAACUUGUUAAUAUACAGUGUCCAGUUAGUGGAGUUGUGCAACAUGCCAAUACUCUUCUAUGAAAGCAAUGAAUAAUAAUAUACCGCUUAAUUAAAACAAGAAAAUGAGCAAAUUGUAACAUCAAAUGCAUAACUGCUCCUUAAUUUUGGAUUAGCUUGUCCAUGAGCAAACAUAUUCUUUUCUCAAUUGUAAUUUUAUUUGCAUCCUCUGAACUCCUUUUACUUCAUGAAAAAAAGAAUAUGAUGCUUAACUAGUGCUUGAUGUUCAUAUAGAUUCUAUUUGUGAAUGCUUCACCGAAGAUUGAUAGGUUGUUUUAUAGUUUACUUAUACCAUUUGCAUCUUCUCUGAGCCUUUUUCUCAUUUUCUCUAUGUUAACAAAUUUUUUGUUGUAUCGAUUGUUGGACAAAAAUGAUCCAUACUUCGAAGUCCUACCUUCUCUGCUUCUUAGUUCUCUUCGUUUAUGAUAGUUGGUAGUUAUUAUUGUAAGAAGUUAUAGUUGGUUUCUCCUUUUGUUUGGGAUAAGAGAAAGACAGUAAUGUCAGGAGGUAUAGCCCGUGGCCGUCUUGCAGAGGAGCGCAAAGCUUGGCGCAAAAAUCACCCCCAUGGGUUUGUAGCUAAGCCAGAGACACUUUCGGAUGGGUCAGUGAACUUGAUGGUGUGGCACUGCUCCAUUCCUGGUAAAACAGGAUGAUGGUGCUUGCAGAUUGUUGCUGGUUUAUUUUAUAUGUGCCCGAGAUGAGUAAAGUAAAAGGUGGCGAUGAGUGAAGGAGGAAAAGAAAACUGGUAGCUAAACUAGUCAGUAUGAUCUACAAUCUAUCAGAGCACUUGAAUAUUUUCAUCUGGAUCUGCACCGUAUCUCAAGUAAGGCAACAAUGGUAUGGAAAGGUAAAACCACUGAAAAGAACAAAGAGAUUACAAUUAGGGAACUUAAGGGCCAAAAACUUUCAAAAGUUUUUGCUCAUUUGAACAAGGGAAGCUCACAUGUUGCUUAGAUUACUAGAGUGGUCAAGCUGCCAAAAAUGGAUCAGUUGCAAAAUAAGAAGAUUGAUGUGAAGGGUGCUAAGGACCAAGGGGAUAACAAAUUGGGUUGCUAACGUAUAUUAGCUUUAGCAGUAUAAUGUGUUUUAAAAUAUUAUUCAUGAUAGAAUACAUCAGAUAUUGUAUAAUUCAUUUCCCGUAGCUUACCUUUAAGAAAUUUGCUUUAUUAAUUAAUGUAGUACAUGACACAUAUUUCUUUUUCAAAAUUCAUUAUAAGUCUAUGCACU